rnacentral:rRNA from 1 species
AUUGAACGCUGGCGGCAGGCCUAACACAUGCAAGUCGAACGAGUGGCGGACGGGUGAGUAAUGUCUGGGAAACUGCCUGACGGAGGGGGAUAACUACUGGAAAUGGUAGCUAAUACCGCAUACCAUCGGAUGUGCCCAGAUGGGAUUAGCUAGUAGGUGGGGUUAAGGCUCACCUAGGCGACGAUCCCUAGCUGGUCUGAGAGGAUGACCAGCCACACUGGAACUGGGCCACGGUCCUGACGCCGACGGUAGUGAGCAGUGGGGAAUGUUGCACAAGGGGCUCAAGCCUGAUGCAGCCAUGCCGCGUGUAUGAAGAAGGCCUGCGGGUUGUAAAGUACUUUCAGCGGGGAGGCGUUACCCGCAGAAGAAGCCCCGGCUAACUCCGUGCCAGCAGCCGCGGUAAUAC